rnacentral:rRNA from 1 species
AUGCUGCUGCCCCGCUGCCUUUUUUUUAUCGUUGUCAAGGUCACCGAAUCCAGGGACGCAAGGCCGCCUCCAGACGGCCGGAGACCUCGGACACGCCAAGUACCCCUUCGUUUCGACGAGACCAGCAAGUUCGAAGAACGCCAAGUUCGACGACGCUCUCCGCCCGAACGACUACCGCCGAUUCGUACCUCUCCAUUGUCGUGGGUUUCGUCAAGUUCAACGGUGAACCCCGAAGCCCUCGGAUUCGUCAAGUCCGAAGAUGCAAGUACCACUCUGAACCAUGUACGACGACCGUCGCCGAAGACCAGUGUACCGCGAACGUCAAGUUCGACUAGCGUCGCGUGA